AGUACCAUGCUGGGGCACAAGGAACGUGGAGAUGUGCCCCCCAUGGCUGUGCAUGGCUCAACUCUUCUGCUGCCAUCAAAGGGUCCCCAGGGAGCCAUGGGAUGGCACUGCCAGAGCACACAUCCCACUGCAGCCACACUGGGAGCGAAGUGAGACACUGAGCACAACGUUAGGGUCACUGCCCUGAGGUCACUUAGCAAACAGCCCUGCUGUCAGCGUUCGUCCCCUAAAGUCUUUCAGCUCCAAAUCGGAAGGCAUUGAUGGGAGGAAAAGAAAUCUACAAGCAGCAAACUGUUGGUUCAGAAGUUGGUUCAGAACUGUUGGCUCCUGUUGCUGCAACAGAGUUCUUUUGUAUUCAGCUUUUGUCAACAUUAAAACUGCUCAGAUUGGAAUUUUCCAGGCGGUUGUUGGCCCUUAGUAGGAAUCAAAGACAAUUUCAAGAAAAUCAGCCAUUUUCAGUGAUUGUACCAAGAGAAAAGUAUCCAAUAUUGACAGAAAUGGAACUGUUAUCGAGGGGGAAAAGAAGAAGAAGGUGUGAUCUGGAAUUUACAGACUGUACCUCUCCACAGACAAACAAGGGAGAGAAAUUAGGAUUUUAUGGGAAAGCCUUACUUUUAGCAAUUCAGAUCAAUCAUUUGCUUGGUUUUGCAACCCAAAUAUCCCUCUAAUGCAAUAAGCCAGUGGAACAAAAUUACACCAAUUUAAUGAACAGAGUGAAAGCAAUGCUACCACGAAGUCAGGAACCUGGGAGCUUUUCCACUAUAUUGCACCAGUAAAUAAUUCCUGCAGUUUGGGACUCUUCCUAAUCUAUGGUGUAAAAAACCAGUAUUUAAUUAAAAAGUUAAUUUCUAAAAGAAUCUGGAUAGGUCACUGAGGAAUAAACAAAUCUAACAGAUGGCUUUGAUGUGUAACCACAUGCAAAUACCAAGGGCAUCUCACAAGUUGUGUAUGCAGUGCUUUAUUCCAACCCAAGGGAUUUCAGUGCUGAAGGGGGGCCCUUUGCCACAGCAAUAGGGCAGGAAUUAAUGUGUUUGCCAACCUUGCUAGUGGUUUUUUGUGUCAGUCCAACUCAUACUUUCAGUGAGCAGU
ensembl:lncRNA